UACGUAGGCAGCGAGCGUUGUUCGGAGUUACUGGGCGUAAAGGGUGCGUAGGCGGUUGUUUAAGUUUGGUGUGAAAUCUCCCGGCUCAACUGGGAGGGUGCGCCGAAUACUGAAUGACUAGAAUGCGGGAGAGGAGAGUGGAAUUCCUGGUGUAGCGGUGAAAUGCGUAGAUAUCAGGAGGAACACCGGUGGUGAAGAAGGCGCUAUGGACCGGAACUGACGCUGAGGCACGAAAGCGUGGGUAGCAAACAGG
rnacentral:rRNA from 1 species